rnacentral:rRNA from 1 species
GUGGAUAAGACAUGCAAGUCGAGCGAAAGUCAACGGGUAGCAAUAUUCGGUGGCUUUAGCGGCGUAAGGGUGCGUAACACGUGGGUAAUCUACCCUGAAGUCUGGAAUAACUCCGAGAAAUCGGAGCUAAUACCAAAUGUGAAUCAGAAACGGCAUCGUUGCUGGUUCAAAGCUGGGGACCGUAAGGCCUGGCGCUUCAGGAUUAGCCCGCGGCCUAUCAGCUAGUUGGCGGGGUAACGGCCCACCAAGGCUAAGACGGGUAGCUGGUCUGAGAGGACGACCAGCCACACUGGAACUGAGACACGGUCCAGACACCUACGGGUGGCAGCAGUCGAGAAUUUUACACAAUGGGCGAAAACCUGAUGGAGCGACGCCGCGUGGGGGAUGAAUGGCUUCGGCCCGUAAACCCCUGUCAUUCGCGGGCAAAGCUGACGGGCUAAUAACUCGUUAGUUGAUAGUAGCGAAAGAGGAAGGGACGGCUAACUCUGUGCCAGCAGCCGCGGUAAUACAGAGGUCCCAAGCGUUGUUCGGAUUUACUGGGCGUAAAGGGUGCGUAGGCGGUUGAUCAAGUUCGAUGUGAAAUCUCCAAGCCUAACUUGGAAAAUGCAUUGAAAACUAGUCAGCUAGAGUGUUGAAGAGGAGACUGGAAUUCUCGGUGUAGCAGUGAAAUGCGUAGAUAUCGAGAGGAACACCAGUGGCGAAGGCGAGUCUCUGGGCAACAACUGACGCUGAGGCACGAAAGCUAGGGGAGCAAACAGGAUUAGAUACCCUGGUAGUCCUAGCCCUAAACUGUGCACGUUUGCUGUGGACGGAAUCGACCCCGUCCGUGGCGAAGCUAACGCGAUAAACGUGCCGCCUGGGAAGUACGGCCGCAAGGUUAAAACUCAAAGAAAUUGACGGGGGCCUGCACAAGCGGUGGAGUAUGUGGCUCAAUUCGAUACAACGCGAAGAACCUUACCUGGCCUUGACAUGUAGGUAGUAGAAGCCUGAAAGGGUGACGAGGUAGCAAUACCAGCUUGCACAGGUGCUGCAUGGCUGUCGUCAGCUCGUGUCGUGAGAUGUUGGGUUAAGUCCCGCAACGAGCCCCCCUUGUCCUGUUGCCACCCGGCCGAAAGGCUGGAGCACUCUGGACAGACUGCCUCGCUUAAACGAGGAGGAAGGUGGGGAUGACGUCAAGUCAGUAUGGCCCUUACGGCCAGGGCUGCACACGUACUACAAUGCCCGGCACAAUGGGAUGCGAUACCGUAAGGUGGAGCAAAUCCCCAAAAACCGGGCCCAGUUCAGAUUGUCGGCUGCAACUCGCCGGCAUGAAGCUGGAAUCGCUAGUAGUGGCGCAUCAGCUACGGCGCCGUGAAUACGUUCCCAGGCCUUGUACACACCGCCCGUCACAUCAUGAAAGCCAUUUGUACCCGAAGUCAACGUGCCAACCGCAAGGGGCAGUUGCCGAAGGUGUGAACGGUAAUUGGGAUGAAGUCGAAACAAGGUA